GACGAACGCUGGCGGCGUGCUUAACACAUGCAAGUCGAACGAAGUGGCGAACGGGUGAGUAACGCGUAAUCAACCUGCCCUUCAGAGGGGGACAACAGUUGGAAACGACUGCUAAUACCGCAUACUGACGGAGGAGAUUGCGUCUGAUUAGCUAGUUGGUGGGGUAACGGCCCACCAAGGCGAUGAUCAGUAGCUGGUCGGAGAGGAUGAACGGCAGCAGUUGGAGUGAGACACGGUCCGGACUCCUACGGGAGGCAGCAGUGGGGAAUUUUGGACAAUGGGCGCAAGCCUGAUCCAGCCAUGCCGCGUGUCUGAAGAAGGCCUUCGGGUUGUAAAGGACUUUUGUCAGGGAAGCGGUACCUGAAGAAUAAGCACCGGCUAACUACGUGCCAGCCGCCGCGGUAAUUC
rnacentral:rRNA from 1 species